UACGUAGGGUGCAAGCGUUAAUCGGAAUUACUGGGCGUAAAGCGUGCGCAGGCGGUUGUGCAAGACAGAUGUGAAAUCCCCGGGCUCAACCUGGGAAUUGCAUUUGUGACUGCACGGCUAGAGUGUGUCAGAGGGGGGUAGAAUUCCACGUGUAGCAGUGAAAUGCGUAGAGAUGUGGAGGAAUACCGAUGGCGAAGGCGGCCUCCUGGUACACUCCUGACACUCAGACGCGAAAGCUAGGGGAGCGAACGGG
rnacentral:rRNA from 1 species